rnacentral:rRNA from 1 species
AGCAAACAGGAUUAGAUACCCUGGUAGUCCACGCCCUAAACGAUGAAUGUUAGUCGUCGGGUAGCUAGUCUAUUCGGUGAUGCAGCUAACGCAUUAAACAUUCCGCCUGGGGAGUACGGUCGCAAGAUUAAAACUCAAAGGAAUAGACGGGGACCCGCACAAGUGGUGGAGCAUGUGGUUUAAUUCGAAGAUACGCGAAGAACCUUACCUAGCCUUGACAUAUUUAAGAACUCCGUAGAGAUACAGAGGUGCCUUCGGGAGCUUUCUUACAGGUGCUGCACGGCUGUCGUCAGCUCGUGUCGUGAGAUGAUGGGUUAAGUCCCGCAACGAGCGCAACCCUCGUCACUAGUUACUAACGGUUCGGCCGAGGACUCUAGUGAGACUGCCUUCGUAAGGAGGAGGAAGGUGAGGACGACGUCAAGUCAUCAUGGCCCUUACGGCUAGGGCAACACACGUGCUACAAUGGCCAGGACAGUGAGACGCGAUACCGUGAGGUGGAGCAAAUCUAUAAACCUGGUCUCAGUUCGGAUUGUAGUCUGCAACUCGACUACAUGAAGCUGGAAUCACUAGUAAUCGUAGAUCAGCUAUGCUACGGUGAAUACGUUCCCGGGUCUUGUACUCACCGCCCGUCACACCAUGGGAGUUGAUUUCACCCGAAGCGGGGAAGCUAAACUGGCUACCCUCCACGGUGGAAUUAGCGACUGGGGUGAAGUCGUAACAAGGUA